AGGGCGGGGAAAGCUCUGUCGACUUUGAGAAGAAAAACGUUGUUUGUCCUUCUUCUGCAGAUAUGAAAAACACUGGUGCGUUUUUCAUAGGAUCCACGGUGCUCCUUGGACACCAUAAUUAAAUCCACUUUUUCCAGAAAAUGGAAUUUUUAGCACAAGCGCUUGUGUGCUUCCUUCAGCAGCGUGACCCACCAGCGGAAGACCGGGAUUUUUGGGUGGUCAGGCUAUUUAUGGCUCAGGUCCCCUGACCUGGCUCCAUGCUGUUUUAUGGUCCCAGGAGCCAAUGGGAGAUCAGAGUUCUCGGACCUGUGGCCAUUUUGUG